rnacentral:sRNA from 1 species
AUAUCUCUUAAAUGUGCACAUAUAAAGCGAAUACUCCAAACAUAUACAUGAUAUAGCUCCAUUUACAAGGAACUCGAUGCACAAAUCUUACUUUAAGAGAGAGACAAAACAAACUAAGUAUCCAGCUUAUUUAUACGCCUCCUAUCAAAGCCGCAAGGUAAGGCCAUUAAAAAUUGCAAUGGAAAAACAGAUGCGUUUCAGUGUAAACAAUAACAAAAUUUUGGCAUUGGAAAUGGCUGGAAACGUGCUUUGGCAUUUGUUUGUUAUUGUUGUUGUUGUUGCUGCUGAACAGCCUUCACUAAUAAACCGUUAUGCAAUGUGCCAAAGCAGAUAACAAAGCAGAAAGAGCAAUACAACAGCAACAACAACAACAACAACAGCUGCAAACUGUAAUUGAAGCUUUGGCUGGAAAUUAAUGGAAGCCGAGUCGCAUUUGGACUUUGGAGCCGACUCGAAGUGAGAGUGGGAAAUCUGAAGUGAAUUAACGGUUAACGAAUUAACUCUUAAAUAGUACAUUUUGUAUAACGAAAAACCGGAAAACUUUUUGGGAUUCAGCGUUAUUUAUGUGGCAUAACUGAAGGAUUCUGGAUGAUUUACAAAAGUAACAGUAAAUUGCUCAUCAAGAUCAGUUCGAAACGCCUCGCGAUCAGUUCAAUUAGCUAGGGUACUCUCCGCAGCCGGGACUCGGACAAUCCAUACACUCGACGAUCUUAUGAGAGUGAACCGAGUGUUGUUGUUGUUGUUGGAACUGACAUUGACAUGAUCCACAACGGCUGUCAUAAAUCUCACCUACCUUGGCUGGCACUUGAUGGGAUUGUUCCCGGAAUCGUUCGGUGGCUUACGUUUGGCGUUCGGUUCUUGCUGUUGGUGGUCAAAAGGAUCUCGAGAUGAAGGAAAAAAAGUGCAAAUCACUUCAUUAAAGCAUUGCAUACGCGACGACCCCCGCAGCUGCCCCCACGUUGCGUAGUUGCGCCGACGUCGCGACGUCUCCGAUUUGCAACUUUGUUGCGCAAGGCUCCAUACGGGAGGCUGCACAUCAUUUGGCUUAAUGGAUCCGCGGCAACAACAAUGACAACAACAAACGGCAAACAGCUUUGCCUGUUUGCUCUGACCCGCAAAAAGUUCGGUAUUGGUGGAUCGCGGCAUCGCCAAUCGUUGACUGUGCGCGGUUCGAACCAUCAAAACGAACGAGCAACAACAACAAGAAAAAACAACGAAAGAGUUAUAGUCGAAAGUGCUGGACUUGAAACUACCCUGUGCCCAAGUCAUUCGAAUAGAAAGGCGAUAUUUAAAAGCUAAAGAGAAACAAUGAGGGAGGCUCGGAAAGAGUGAUAAAUUAAUCCUCAUUCGAAUAAUAAAAAAUAUAUUGCCAAUGGAAAAUCAAGAACAUAUCAACUCGUGAACUCAUGCUAAUCGGAAAAAGACUGCCAAAUUAAGGACUACAAGGACCUCUAAGGACCUCUACGAGGGACACAGCAGAUUUUUUCAGGAUCGGACUUAAAUUAAGCCAUAUGUAGUUAU